AUUGCUUGCAAUCCGCUGACGACCGGCGCACGGGUGCGUAACGCGUAUGCAACCUACCUUCUACAGGGGGAUAGUCAAUAGAAAUGUUGAAUAAUACCCCAUACGAUCUUUGAAUAGCAUUAUUUAAAGAAGAAAGUUCCGGCGGUAGAAGAUGGGCAUGCGUCCUAUUAGUUAGUUGGAGAGGUAACGGCUCCCCAAGACAUCGAUAGGUAGGGGUCCUGAGAGGGAGACCCCCCACACUGGUACUGAGACACGGACCAGACUCCUACGGGAGGCAGCAGUGAGGAAUAUUGGACAAUGGAGGCAACUCUGAUCCAGCCAUGCCGCGUGCAGGAAGACUGCCCUAUGGGUUGUAAACUGCUUUUAUACAGGAAGAAAUGUACCUACGUGUAGGUAUUUGACGGUACUGUACGAAUAAGGAUCGGCUAACUCCGUGCCAGCAGCCGCGGUAAUACGGAGGAUCCAAGCGUUAUCCGGAAUCAUUGGGUUUAAAGGGUCCGUAGGCGGUCUUUUAAGUCAGAGGUGAAAUCCUACAGCUCAACUGUAGAAUUGCCUUUGAUACUGAAGGACUUGAGUUAUUGUGAAGUAGUUAGAAUGUGUGGUGUAGCGGUGAAAUGCAUAGAGAUCACACAGAAUACCGAUUGCGAAGGCAGAUUACUAACAAUAUACUGACGCUGAGGGACGAAAGCGUGGGUAGCGAACAGGAUUAGAUACCCUGGUAGUCCACGCCGUAAACGAUGGAUACUAGCUGUUCGACCAACAUUGGUUGGUUGAGUGGCUAAGCGAAAGUGAUAA
rnacentral:rRNA from 1 species